GUUCAUAAUGCGAAAGGAUGCUGGAAAAUUCAUCCACUUCAAUGGACCUUUCACAGUUUCAGCAAUAGCUGACUUUGUAUCCAUGAACAAGUUUCCUUUGGUAACCACUUUCAAUGCGCAAACUGCUUUGCCAAUUCUUACGAAUCCAAUGAAACAGUUAUGGCUUUUUGCUCUUGAUGAUGAUUUAGAUAAGGUUGUGUCCGUAUUCCAAGAGGCAGCAAAAGCUUUUAAUGGAAAGCUUCUGUUUGUCUAUAUCAAAAUGGACCAUAAAGAUGUUGGAAAGCG
rnacentral:misc_RNA from 1 species